GACGAACGCUGGCGGCGUGCCUAAUACAUGCAAGUUGAGCGAUGAAGAUUGGUGCUUGCACCAAUUUGAAGAGCAGCGAACGGGUGAGUAACGCGUGGGGAAUCUGCCUUUGAGCGGGGGACAACAUUUGGAAACGAAUGCUAAUACCGCAUAACAACUUUAAACAUAAGUUUUAAGUUUGAAAGAUGCAAUUGCAUCACUCAAAGAUGAUCCCGCGUUGUAUUAGCUAGUUGGUGAGGUAAAGGCCCACCAAGGCGAAGAUACAUAGCCGACCUGAGAGGGUGGACCGCCAACACGGGAACGGGACCAGGCCCCAAACUCUAAGGGAAGCAGCAGUAGGGAAACUUCGGCAAAUGAGGGAAGUCCGGACGGGGAAAGCCGGGGGAGUGAAGGAAGUUCUCGGAUCGUAAAAAUCCGUUGGUAGGGAAGAAAGUUGGGGGGAGUGAAAUGCUCACGAAGUGACGGUAACUAACCAGAAAGGGACGGCUAACUACGUG
rnacentral:rRNA from 1 species